UUCAGGUUUUUUUUGUGAGAUUUUUUCAUGGUGUGGGAAUAAGACUUGGAGGUCUAAUACAGCUAGUAUAUAGAUUAGCAUCAGCUUGUCUGUAAGGAUUGAGGCUGAGAAUGGCCAUUGGAGCUGACUAAUAUGGUGACUUCAACUGUGGCUGCAGGAAAUUAUUGUGCAAUACAACUGAAACCAAAAAGAAUGUAAUUCAGAC